rnacentral:rRNA from 1 species
UACGGAGGGGGCUAGCGUUGUUCGGAAUUACUGGGCGUAAAGCGCACGUAGGCGGCUUUGUAAGUUAGAGGUGAAAGCCCAGGGCUUAACCCUGGAAUUGCCUUUAAGACUGCAUCGCUAGAAUCGUGGAGAGGUGAGUGGAAUCGAGUGUAGAGGUGAAACUUGUAGAUAUUCGGAAGAACACCAGUGGCGAAGGCGACUCACUGGACACGUAUUGACGCUGAGGUGCGAAAGCGGUGGGGAGCAAACAGGGAUUAAGAA